UCAGCACAUCCAUAAUCGUUAAUCCAUUCAUCAAAGCAGUCAUCCGUCUCACACUCUCUAUUUCGUCUCUCAAAUACUCAAACUCAACAUCUUGGAGUCUCGUCUUGGUCACGGUCAACAUCGCCGGCGACACCAUCUCCGCCGUCGCCAUCUCCAUCGUCUCCGUUUAGUCUACAAACAUGCAACAACAGUACUGAUAAUAUAUAGAGGUUGUUCAUAUCUAAUUUCUCUGUUGAAACUUUAGAGAAGAAGAAAAAAUAUUCAUGCUGCUGAAAUUACUAGUAAAUUCUCAUGAUGCAGCAAUAUUGUCUUCCUUUGGUUAAUGUCGAAUUUUAAUUAAGUUGAUCACGAUGUAAUUUAUACUUAAGGAUGUAAUUUAUACUUAAGGAUGUAAUUUGUAUUGGUUGUGUUGUCAUGUAACUGUGAUUUAUGUUGCUGAUGAAUUUGUGAUUUAGUAUUAGCCUUAUACUUUAUGUGGCUAAUUGCGAAUGCUAUGUGUUUGAGAACAAUGAUACAACAAAACAUGAUGUAUGAUUGGCAGGUUGGGCCAGUUUUUAUAAUGAGUCAUAGUUGUAUUUAGAAAAA